rnacentral:rRNA from 1 species
AAGGAGUCUAAUCGGCANGUCGAGCGAGCUUGCCUAGAUGAUUUUAGUGCUUGCACUAAAUGAAACUAGAUACAAGCGAGCGGCGGACGGGUGAGUAACACGUGGGUAACCUGCCCAAGAGACUGGGAUAACACCUGGAAACAGAUGCUAAUACCGGAUAACAACACUAGACGCAUGUCUAGAGUUUGAAAGAUGGUUCUGCUAUCACUCUUGGAUGGACCUGCGGUGCAUUAGCUAGUUGGUAAGGUAACGGCUUACCAAGGCAAUGAUGCAUAGCCGAGUUGAGAGACUGAUCGGCCACAUUGGGACUGAGACACGGCCCAAACUCCUACGGGAGGCAGCAGUAGGGAAUCUUCCACAAUGGACGAAAGUCUGAUGGAGCAACGCCGCGUGAGUGAAGAAGGGUUUCGGCUCGUAAAGCUCUGUUGGUAGUGAAGAAAGAUAGAGGUAGUAACUGGCCUUUAUUUGACGGUAAUUACUUANAAAGUCACGGCUAACUACGUGCCAGCAGCCGCGGUAAUACGUAGGUGGCAAGCGUUGUCCGGAUUUAUUGGGCGUAAAGCGAGUGCAGGCGGUUCAAUAAGUCUGAUGUGAAAGCCUUCGGCUCAACCGGAGAAUUGCAUCAGAAACUGUUGAACUUGAGUGCAGAANAGGAGAGUGGAACUCCAUGUGUAGCGGUGGAAUGCGUAAAUAUAUGGAAGAACACCAGUGGCGAAGGCGGCUCUCUGGUCUGCAACUGACGCUGAGGCU